UGGUAGUCCACGCUGUAAACGAUGUCAACUAGCCGUUGGGACACUUGAUGUCUUAGUGGCGCAGCUAACGCGAUAAGUUGACCGCCUGGGGAGUACGGUCGCAAGAUUAAAACUCAAAUGAAUUGACGGGGGCCCGCACAAGCGGUGGAGCAUGUGGUUUAAUUCGACGCAACGCGAAGAACCUUACCUACUCUUGACAUCCAGAGAACUUUCCAGAGAUGGAUUGGUGCCUUCGGGAGCUCUGAGACAGGUGCUGCAUGGCUGUCGUCAGCUCGUGUUGUGAAAUGUUGGGUUAAGUCCCGUAACGAGCGCAACCCUUGUCCUUACUUGCCAGCGGGUAAUGCCGGGAACUUUAAGGAGACUGCCGGUGACAAACCGGAGGAAGGUGGGGACGACGUCAAGUCAUCAUGGCCCUUACGAGUAGGGCUACACACGUGCUACAAUGGCCGGUACAGAGGGCAGCAAAGCGGCGACGUGGAGCAAAUCUCAGAAAACCGGUCGUAGUCCGGAUCGCAGUCUGCAACUCGACUGCGUGAAGUCGGAAUCGCUAGUAAUCGCGAAUCAGAAUGUCGCGGUGAAUACGUUCCCGGGCCUUGUACACACCGCCCGUCACACCAUGGGAGUGGGUUGCACCAGAAGUAGCUAGUCUAACCGCAAGGGGGACGGUUACCACGGUGUGAUUCAUGACUGGGGUGAAGUCGUAACAAGGUACCCGUAAAU
rnacentral:rRNA from 1 species